AUAUCCUCUGAGGGAAGGAAGUAGGAGUACUUAAGGAUAUAAGGGCAAAGUUAACAAGGGCACCUCCCUGAGAAUCACUAGUCCUGAGUCCCAUCCUGAGGAGCCUUGGCUUCCUGUGGCCCAAAGACAUCAAGGAAAUGCAGAGACUGCUCUGGCUGGAUGAAUCUAGGAAAAAUUUCAUGACUUAGUCAUUCCAGUUGGUACUAUAGGAACAGGCACUGCAGGACCUCAGAUUUAGCUCCUUGGAGUGCAUUUUGGACAUUCCACAGCAGCAAUCAAGGAUGAGUCAACAAACAGAAUUCUUCUCCCUUUGCUUACAACUCACAGUUCCUUCUCCAUUCUGUUCCUGCCAUGUCUGCGACAAUCAAAUUCCAUGGCAAGCAGCUAAGUCAUUCUUAAGGAAAAUGGGAAGCAGUGGCCA
rnacentral:lncRNA from 1 species